rnacentral:lncRNA from 1 species
CCCAAUACACGAGAGGGGGACUAUAUAAGAAUCAAUGAAGCUGUCACUAUCACGAACCACCCCACGAUCUGGCAUAUUGGGUACAAUCGUAGAUAAAUACGGUAUAAACACCACGCCUACACAAUAUCUAUCAUUUACCCAUGGAUCCGAUGGAUAAACGCUAUACGAUCCUAAGCAUGUAUAUAGAUCGAAUCUAACUAAGCCAAGUACAUAACUAUGAUAAACUAAGAACAAUAUAAUCUUGAAUAUAAGCAAGUAGAGCAAAGUCAUAAGCAAUAUAUUGAAGUAGAACAAAGUCAUAUUCAUAAUAUUGAAGAACAAAGAUAAUUAGAAAGUAAUUAGAAGCACAAUUAGAGAAUUACCAAGAAUCCUCCUGACAGAUCCGGAAACCAAUCGAAGAUUGACUCCUUCUAGUUCUAAUCCUAUGUAGCUAUGCUAAUCUAGAUAUCUAAUUGAUGUGGUGGCUCUAAUCUUGAUCAGAGGCUUCUUCUCCCUUGAUGGAACAAUGAAUUAGGGUUGAGAGGCUCUCUCCUCUAGGGGCCAGGGGGUCUGGUUUUAUAGUCCCUUCAAGUGAAUAUGGGCCGUUGGAUCAAACCGACAUAGAUUGUAUGGUUUAGAUUCAUCCUUUAGGUCGGUGGAAAUCUCCCGCAAAGCAGAGUCCUGAUUGGACUCAGAGGCAGGGCGGGCGCCCUGACCAACUGGGCGGGCGCCCAGGGUCUGGCCCCGUUUCGCCUGCGCUUCGGUCUCGUGGCUUCUGGAGUCUUCUAGAUGUAAGAUAAUUGCGCGGCACGUUAAUAUCUCUAUGUAAUCCCGACGUGUGGGCCUUUCUUCCGUAUUUCCUGAUAACCCCCUACAGAAAUAGACAAACACCAAAACUCGUGGAAUUCUGUCAGAUAAAACCCUAAGUCUAGAUGUUGAUUUCAUUUGGAUCCUUUUCUUUAUUUAUUUGAUAAUUAAAUUUGAUACUUAAGGACCGUCAACAAACUCCCCCAAGCUUACCUCUUGCUCGUCCCUGAGCAAGGAUAGACUCAGCUAUGGAUCAUAAGUUGUUGCAAUAUUUUUUUUUAAAUUUGACGGUACACAUACUUUUUAAAUAAGAUCUCAUCUCUGAGUUAGGGUAAACUGUCAAGACUUAAAACUUACUUACUUUACCUUCUUGUAACCGUCACUUCUGUCUUGAGUAGUUAAAAGAUAGAACAGUCCAGCCAAGUGCCAUGUCUCUUAUUCUUGAUCAGCUAUAGCUCUGGGGUUUUUGCAGAUUUUCAAAUAAAACUCAUAGAUUCCUUGUAUGACUCUUAAAUCUCUCUUUUGUGGUAUUUCUGGAUCCUUACCAAGGCAGUAAUGGUAUAUGCCUUCUCUCAAGAUAUGUAGUAUUUGUGGUAUAAAGCAUAGUGACAUUGUCUUCUCUCUCACCUUACUCUAAUAAGGCUUUAAUAUCUGGAGCUCAUAGGUGGGACAUAAAGUAUACAUACUUACAAGACAUUUAUUGUAUAGUCAAACCAUGGAUCCAAAGAAACAAAUCAAUAAGUUUAAUCAAGAUGUGCAUGUGUGGCUAAUGAAUGGUGUAUGGUGAUGAUGAUGAUAACAAUGGUGAAAACAAUGGAGGUGGAAGUCUAAUUCUACUUUUGCUCUUUGAGGGGAUACAUACCUUCCUUGCUUUUUGAAACUUUAUGAGGAGAAUGAGAUGCUCUUCUUUUUCUUUUCUCUCAGGUGGGUAUCUUGCACCCCUAAUUCUACUGUCGGACACUUGUCCAUUUUUACCUCUCGUCUCACUUUUUUCUUUUUCUUUCGAGGUUCCGAGCACUUGCUCCUUUUUAUUUCCUCGUAUUUUUUUAUUUUCUUCUUUUUUUUAGAGCACUCAUCUCUUGAGAUAAUAUAGCAAGUGGUAGUAACAAGAUAACUUGAGCAUUUAUCUCACAAGGGAAAACAGAAAUAUUUUUGGUUAUUCUCUCCCGGGUUAGGAGUAGAAUAUUUUUGGGUGAUUCUGGAGAUGGAAUGGGCGGAUAUAUGUGGAUGGUACUUCCGGAGUAGAAGUAGCAUAUAUGAGUGAACGUGCAAGUGAAAUCUUGAUUUAACCACAUGACAAGUUCCUAAGGGUCUACACAGCUUGACCACACUCAAUGCUCAUAAGCAGUAAAUAGUAAAUGUGUGGCUCAAAGUCUAGCAAGCAUGUAUAUAUGGCUAUGGUAGGAAUUUAAACUCUCAUCAUACAGGAACUCAUCAUGCAACAUUUUAAAGAUUUUCAAAGAUAAAAUUCUCCAGAAUUCUAGCAUCUCUAGGAACAGAUAAACAGCAGCUCAACCUUCCCAUAUCGUAUCCGUUAACAACUUAGACUUUAGAUCAAGUUUUCAUCCCACAAGUUUAGGUCUAGAACAAGCUUUAAAUUAUAACAGUUAUGUCUAAACUUGAGAGAGAACUUAAAAUGUGCAAAUUAGGCAGAGCAACCAUUUAUCAUAUCCAUGCUUAAGUUUUAUUAUUAAGAUACAGAUUAGCAUAGCCACUUUAUUUAUUUAUUAAACACACUAAGCAAAAGAUAUAUAUAUAUAUACACAUAAAAUCUUUAUUUGGUUUUUCAUAGUUUAUGUAUUUUAAUAUUCUAAUAUAAUAUAAGUAUAAAGAUAGAUAGAUAGAAAUACUUAUCGGGAUAAAUGGGGGUGCUCUCCCCCAAGCUGAAUUUUGACGUAAUUUCUCUUGAUGUAGCUAGCAGGUGGCAGAGGUGUAUUUGAAAGUCAGCAGCAUUCUGACAGCAAUUAGAAUGUCCUCCGUCUGCUAGUCUUCCUAAAUUCUAUGGAGCUCAAAUAGACAACAAAGCUUGUGGAACUGAUUAAGUGUUAGCAUAAAUAUCUAGCCUUUAUCAUGUUGAGACUCCUUAAUAAUUAUUACUCCCUGUUUUUAUAUUUUCAUUUUAUAAAGCAGAAAAAUAUUUAUUUUAUUUUUAUGCCACUACAGUGAAUGUGCUUAUGGGUUUUAUGCCACUCGUAUACUCACAUGGGGCUUACUGUUUUUCACAUUUUUAUUUUAUUUUUAGGAUAACAUGAGUAUGAUUAACUAAGCAAACUAUUUUAUAUAAUUGAAAGGGAAAGGAUAACUACCAAGUUUACCUCUUGGCAAGGCGUUCGGUGUUUUCAAGUCCUCCGAACGGGACUCUCCAUUUUUUCAAUCGUCCUGAGGUUCAUUGGGUGGCGUAGUCGGUACUUCCGGCAGCGCCUCCUCUUCAUGUAUAGUUAUCUUCAUUUUCCACACCUGACUUGGUGCUUCCGUCUCCUCUAGAUAAUUCUGUUUGAACUCUAUGUCUUCUGACCUCAUAACUUCUCCUUCGUAGUCUGCCCAUCCGUCCUUGAUGAUCUGCCUCCUCUGGUUGUGGUUGCGUCUUUUUCUGACCUGCUUAGAUUCUUCAACGAUAUAGUUAGGGUCAGUAAAGUAACGGCGUACCUUCUCUGAGGGGAAGUGCAUAUGGACUUCUCCGGUUCCAAUGUAGAUAAUUGCUUUAACGGUGCUGAGGAACGGUCUUCCAAGGAUGACGGGUGGAUCAUACUCGUCUUCUCCCAUGUCAAUAACUUGAAAGUCUGUGUAGACAAAGUGAUCGUCUAUUUUGACUGGGACAUCAGUUACUAUUCCUUUAACUUCUCGAAAUGUCUGAUCUGCCAUCUGGAGCUGAAUGUAUGUUGGUCUUAGUGGCAUGGUUCCGAACAAGAGCCGAUAGGUGACUGCGGCCAUUAUGUUGACGCCCGAUCCGGUGUCACAAAAUGUCUUGUAGAAGUUGUAUCCAUUUAUGGAGCAGUAAAUGCUUGGCAUUCCUGGGUCGUCCUUCUUGGUCAAACACGGUGACUUAAGUUGGUGAUCUUGGCCUCUAUGAACUACAGUGACCAUCUUAGCUGACUCGGUCCACACUUGCUUGUUCCUGUUCCUCCUGUUGGUCCUCUUCCUUGAUUUACGUCUGGAUUGAUCUGGAAUUUGUGUAGUCUUGUUCUUGAAGAAAAAUGUCUCCUUCUUCCCUUUGACGUAGAAACUGAUCUUGGCAGCACUAGCGUAGAUGAUAGCUCCCGUGGUGUUCAAGAAUGGCCUCCCUAAGAUGAUAGGUGCUCUCUCAUCAUUUCCGGUCUCUACCACUAUGAAGUCUGCUGGGGCAUAUAAGGUACCAACUCGGACACAAAGGUUCCUCAAUAUUCCUUUUGGAAAAGUUAUCGUCUGAUCUGCAAACUGCAAACACAUGGUUGUUUCUAAUAAAGGAUAUGUAAAGAAUUUUUCAUAGAGUACCCUGGGUAUAAUGUUGACACUAGAGCCAAAGUCGCAGAGUGCUUCUAGAACGUCCACCAUGCCGAUGGAUAUCGGGAUGACGGGGCGUCCUGGAUCGCCUCUCUUGACCAGCAGAAGGUCAGUAGAGAAUUCAUUGACGGGGUUACUCCAAUUACCUGCAUCAAACAUGUCUACAAGAUUUGUAGAUUCUAAUCCUUCCAGUUGUGAUGGUAUACCGGGGUUAGUAGUAGGAACAGCAGCAGCUAUUUGAUUUAACUGAGAUUCAAUCAUUUUAUUAAAGCUAAUUUGAUUCUUGAUGGCAGUAGAGAAAUUAUCCAUUCUGUUAUUUAUAUUUUCUAGCAUUUUAUCAUUAGAUGCCAAUUUCUUAGAUAGGUUAUCCAUUAGCUUUCCUUGAUUAGACACUAACUCUCUCAAAGGUGGAAAAUUAUUAGCAUUAUUGUUGUAAGAAUUGUUACCUUGAUAAUUACCUGAGUAGUUAGGCCUCUGUUGAUUCCAACCUUGAUUUUGUUGGGGACGGUUGUAGUAGUAGUAGUUGUUGUUGUUGUUGAUGUAGUUUACAUCCUCAAGUAUCUCAGGGCAGUGGUUGCCUGAGUGUCCAGUGUCUCCACACUCCUCACAAGUCAUGUGAGAGUCGUAGAUGUGCAUAACUUCCUUCUUAUCUCCAGCUCUAUCAUCGAGCUUCUUCAUGAGCAGGUCUAGCUUUGCAGACAGCAUGUCUACCUCCUUCUAGGUCCUCUCUUCAUUCCAGCUUUGAUUGGACGCCAUCUUCUCCACAAGAGCUGUGGCUUGUGGUAUAGUAAGUGAUAAGAAUGCUCCUCCAGCUGCAGCAUCCAUGGUUUCUCGAGCACUGUUGUCGAGCCCAUGAUAAAAUGUCUGCAUCAAUAGCCAACUCUCCAUUCCAUGAUGGGGACAUUCUAGGAUGUAGUCUUGAAAGUGCUCCCAUGCUUCUGGAACAGAUUCAUCAUUUUGUUGCUGAAAACUUGUAAUCUUCCCACGGAGAGCAUUGGUCUUGCCCAUGGGAAAGAACUUUGCCAGGAAGUUUGUUGAGCAGAGUGCCCACGUAGUAUUCUUCUCCUUUGUAGCGUAAAACCACUGCUUCGCUCUUCCUAACAGUGAGAACGGGAAGAGGCGAAGUAGUAUAGCAUCUUUGGAAACUCCUGAUAUGGUGAAUGUGUUGCAAAUCUCCAGGAAGUGUUGUAAAUGAGCACUAGCAUCUUCGUGUGCCUUCCCACAGAACUGGUUGGAUUGCACCAUGUUGAUAAGUCCAGGCUUGAGCUCAAAGGUGCCAUCGAUCUCUGCAGUAGGUCCAGUGCGGAUGUUGUCCGUAGUGGGAGCUGAGAACUCCCGGAUUGAUUUGUUCGCCAUGGCUUCGAACUCUGAAGACAAGUUCCGGUGAUCUUCUUGAUUGGAUGAAGCAUCUUGCUGAAGUGUUGAUGAUCUCUUCUUGAGCUUGGCUCUCGUCUUCUUGAAUAAUGCUUCGGGAUUGUCAACAAAAUUUCCUGGAAGAUGUCUUCUAUUCAUACAUUCCCCUGCAUAAGAUAAAAUAGAAAAAUAUCUGGGUAAAACUGUAUGAGAGAAUAGAUAAGCUCAAUCAUAUUAGUGAUGCGAAUGAUAACUCAAAAUCUUUUAUUCCAUUCCUGAUUAGUAAUCAACCUUCCCCGGCAACGGCGCCAAAAAUGCUUGUUGGGUAUUCUUAACAUCAUUACCAAAAGUAGACUAAGAUCUCUAAAUUUAGUAACGGUGCCAAAAAUGCCAAACCUAUCCCUCACACCACUUAAGCCAAGUUGUCAUCCCCAGCAUGAUAUAAGAGACGCGGUAUUGAAAUAUGCAAUUGCUCUUCUAAAUAAAUAAUAAAUGGGAUCUGCAAGCGCACAGAUUAAUACCGAUGCAGCAUUUUAACCGGAAAGUAUUCCAGGUAUCGUUAUUUAUAUUUUUACCACUGGGAAGGGAUUAACAAUCAUCACUAUUGAUUACAGAAUAGAAUAUGAGAUUGAGCAUCUAUCAUUGCAUAUAUAAUUGAGAACAUUAUAUCUAAGUCUUCAUACAGGGAUAAGUGUCACAUAAAAGAUAUAUGAAAUAAUAAUAGUGACAAGGAUAACUAAUCUGAUCUAGCCACAUAUUAAAUAUGAUAAGCACCUCAAUUAGAUACUCUAGAAAGUCAUUAGCAUGGUAUUAGAACGAACUACAAGAAUAUUCCCUAAGUUAUUCUCAACUAUAUAGUCUAGCAUUAUCAUAGUUAGUGCAAGCAUACUUAGCAAUCAUUGUGAGACAAGACUACGCCCAUGCAUAGUGAUAUUAGCAAGGAAUAUGAGAAACAUAGCAAUCACUCCCCUGUAAUAAUGUUGCUCUGCCAGCCCAAUACACGAGAGGGGGACUAUAUAAGAAUCAAUGAAGCUGUCACUAUCACGAACCACCCCACAAUCUGGCAUAUUGGGUACAAUCGCAGAUAAAUACGGUAUAAACACCACGCCUACACAAUAUCUAUCAUUUACCCAUGGAUCCGAUGGAUAAACGCUAUACGAUCCUAAGCAUGUAUAUAGAUCGAAUCUAACUAAGCCAAGUACAUAACUAUGAUAAACUAAGAACAAUAUAAUCUUGAAUAUAAGCAAGUAGAGCAAAGUCAUAAGCAAUAUAUUGAAGUAGAACAAAGUCAUGUUCAUAAUAUUAAAGAACAAAGAUAAUUAGAAAGUAAUUAGAAGCACAAUUAGAGAAUUACCAAGAAUCCUCCUGACAGAUCCGGAAACCAAUCGAAGAUUGACUCCUUCUAGUUCUAAUCCUAUGUAGCUAUGCUAAUCUAGAUAUCUAAUUGAUGUGGUGGCUCUAAUCUUGAUCAGAGGCUUCUUCUCCCUUGAUGGAACAAUGAAUUAGGGUUGAGAGGCUCUCUCCUCCAGGGGCCAGGCGGUCUGGUUUUAUAGUCCCUUCAAGUGAAUAUGGGCCAUUGGAUCAAACCGACAUAGAUUGUAUGGUCUAGAUUCAUCCUUUAGGUCGGUGGAAAUCUCCCGCAAAGCAGAGUCCUGAUUGGACUCAGAGGCAGGGCGGGCGCCCUGACCAACUGGGCGGGCGCCCAGGGUCUGGCCCCGUUUCGCCUCCGCUUUGGUCUCGUGGCUUCUGGAGUCUUCUAGAUGUAAGAUAAUUGCGCGGCAUGUUAAUAUCUCUAUGUAAUCCCGACGUGUGGGCCUUCCUUCCGUAUUUCCUGAUAACCCCCUGCAGAAAUAGACAAACACCAAAACUCGUGGAAUUCUGUCAGAUAAAACCCUAAGUCUAGAUGUUGAUUUCAUUUGGAUCCUUUUCUUUAUUUAUUUGAUAAUUAAAUUUGAUACUUAAGGACCAUCAACAACCUCCACUCUAUCUCUCUCAAUCUAGUAGAAACUAGAAGAUCUAUUUCUACUUUACAUUGGUUGCUAAGCCUAAAAAGAAAUAUUAAUUAGAGAAGAGGUUUUCCUUCGAGGGCACCCCUCAGUCUCUAUGAUAAUUUCUUCAUGUCUUCUCCAGGGGCCAGGGGGGUCUCCUUAUAUAGUCCUCCCCUUCUAUGCGUUUUUGGGUUGAUAGGCGAGGUGGUACUAUGUUUUCCUUGAUCCAAUAGGUCGGUGGAACAUCCCGUGCGAAGAGAGUCCCGACUGGCAUCCAACAGGGGGCGGGCGCCCAGGUCACCAGGGCGGGCGCCCUGGGCCUGGCCCCUUUCGGCCUCCGUCUUCUUCCCGUGGCUUCUGGAGUCCUCUAGAUGGUACAAAAUCAUGCGGUGUGUUGAUAUCUCUAUGUAAUCCCGACAUGUGGGCCUUUAUUCCUUAUUUCCUGAUAACCCCCUGCAGAAACAGAUAAACAACAAAACUCGUGGAAUUCUGCCAGAUCAAACCCUAAUUCUAGGUGUUAGUUGCAUAUUGGUCCUUUCUCUUGUUUAUUUGAUAAUUAAAAUUGAUACUUAAGAACCGUCAACAAAUACCCCCAUACUUAGGCUUUUACUCGUCCUCGAGAAAAGGAUGGUUAAGAAAAAUAUUUGGGGUAAACAUUUAAAACAUUCUCUUUAUAAUUGCAGGGUGUUAAAAAUUCCACUGUGUACCAUAGUCAGGGAAGAGUAAAGAUCCUUUCUUCUCAAUCCUAUCACUUGGAGCUUUUUGUAUAUUUUUUUUUGAAAGAAAGUUAACAUACCUUUGAUCCUCAUAGGUUCUCUCAGAUCACUCAUUAUCUUUUAUAUAUAUCUCACUGAGGCUGUUUUAUUUUUGCAAAAAUUCUCAAGCAUACUUACUUUGCAUUUAUUGCAUGAUCAAACGGGAUCCGAGGAGGGGAAUGUCAUAAACUUAGAUCAAAGACUUUGGAAAUUAAAAUCUUUGUCAACUCUUGCUGGCAUAUUGCUUAUUAGAGGGACCAUGGGCUAUCAUUUUUUUCUCUUUUCGCUUCUCUUUUUUUUACUAAAGUGGAUACCGAGGUACCCCUAAUUCUACUGCCGGACACUUGUCCAUUUAUUCUGCGAGGUUGUCGAGCACUUGCUCCUUUUUAUUUCCUCGAAAUAUUUCUAUUUUUGCAUAGCCCAUGCCUCUAAUGCAAUAAUACUUCGGAAGAGUGAAUCUUUCUGAAUAAAUGUCUUGAUCUUAGGAGCAUGAUAAAUCUCUCAACAAGGGUCUAACUCAUUUUGAACAAACACAAUACAGAGUAGAUAGCCUUUGUAAUCAUAAUUAAUAUUUUAGUUUUAUCGGGCAUAUAAAACACUGAGGAUGGUAGCUAGAAUUUUGAAUAUUUUGAAAUAAAUUCUCCAAGCAACAAUGAUAUCAAGAAUAAGAAACUCAUACUCUACCAUCACAUAUUCCAUAUUGACUUAAGUAACACAGGGUUUUAAAAUGAUUUUGCAAGUUUUCAGGAAAUAUCACAAAUUGAGAUUAAUCAUGAUUAGAAAUAUUUUAAUCUUUUUAUUUUAUCAUGUCGGAAACAAUAAUCUGCAUAAUCCAAAAUAUAUGUAUGUGUAAAGUAAAGUGUGCAGAGUGUGUACCUGAAUCGUGGAGUGGUGUAGUCGGAGUGUGUUUAGCAUGUCGAGGGAUCUCCCCCAUACUUGUUUUCUGCUUUCUUGCACAAAAAUAAAGUAGAGACACACAAGACAUAAUAAUAAUAAUACUCUUUAUUAAUCUUGAGGCAUUUAUUACAAAAGACUAGUAGCAAACUGAUAACAAACUGAUGAUAAUAGCAAACUGAUGAUAAUUGCAAACCUAAACCGAAUUUAAAGAUAGAUGACUCAAUUGCAUUGCCUCAAGGUCUAACCUAGAUAACUUAGCGGCGCUCUAAUUCCUUAAUCUUCUUGUUGGCACUGGCAAGAUCCUGCCUAAGGCCUAGUAUAAUAGUGUUGUGGUUAGAGAGCUACCUAGUGAGGGAAUUAAUUGAGGACUGGAGAUCUAUGAUAACUCUGUCUAGCCUGCGAACGUCCUCAUCAAUAUCGACUAUAGUCUUGCGACGCUUGGGAGGUGUCUCAAAAGCAUUGAGAGCGUGCUUCGGGACUGCCUUUGGAGGGAUGAAACGGACUUUGGCUGCUCUAAUCCCUUCAAAGUAAGGCCUUUCCUCCUCCGUAGUGUAGCGAAUACUGCUGAUCUCGCUGCUCCGGUUGGUCUUGACUCCAACGACCCUCUCAUUGGGUCUAGGUGGAAGGAUCCUCGUGCCGAUUGGCACCUUGAUAGUGGUCUUCGUCUUGGAUGAUGAUCCUUUGAGAAGUAGGGGUUGUGGUGGUGCGGUGAGAACUGGUUGAGCAUGGUAAGAUUGGGCGGAACUGCGUUGGCGUAAUGGCAUGGCUUCUAGCUGUCGCUCUGUGUUGGCCGGGACGAGAGCACGGGCAUCGGGGUCUUCCACAGGCUCCAUGUUGAGGUUGAAGGGGACGACUUCCCAAUCAUCGUGGUACUUCUCGGCCAUUGGAGCAGCAAGGAACUAAUCAAGCUCUAAUUGAAGGAGAGAAGGCUUGGUGGCUUGGUGUUUGAAAACUAAGGUCAGGGGUCUGUUUAUAUAGGGGUCAAAAAGGUGCCUCUAUGGGUUGUUCAGGUUGCUCCCGUCGACGUGCGUGCGAAACUUUCCAUCCAAGGGAUUAUUCGAAUUACCAUAAGUGCAUUUUCCAUAACAGAGAAAGUCGGGACCGAGGGGGAACAGGAGCUGGGCGCCCGCCCACUUGAUCUGGGCGCCCGCCCUCUCUCUGGCCCCUCUGUGGGCCCACUUUCUCGAGCGCGUUUCUAGAUACGAAAUUAUUUUAAAAAAUAUAUAUAUGACCCAAAAUCAUCAGACUAAAAAAGGUCGGGCUCUAAUUCUCCAUGGGAAGGUAAAAAUGGACUACGUCUAUUUCUUCAAAUUCCUCAUUGGGCUCUAUAAAUAAUUUAAGACGUUGACCAUUUACCUUGAAUAACGUACCUUCGUCAUUUUGAAGUGUGAUAGCUCCGUGGGAUGAUGAAUUAAUUACCUUGAAUGGUCCUUCCCAUUUGCUCCGGAGUUUUCCAUGCCCGAAAAGCUUCACCCUGGAAUUAAAAAAUAAUACCUUAUCUCCGGGUGUGAACUCCUUCUUCUUGAUUCUGUUGUCAUGCCACCUUUUGACUCUUUCUUUGUAGAUCUUUGAAUUGUGAUAUGCUUUCUCUCGCCAUUCUUCCAAUUCUGAUAGUUGCAUUCUUCUAUAAUCUCCAGCAACAUCUAGGUCCAUAUUCCAUCUCUUUAUGGCCCAGUGUGCUUUGGACUCUAGUUCAAUAGGUAGAUGGCAAGUCUUCCCUUACACCAAUUGGUAUGGAGACAUUCCGAUUGGGGUCUUGUAUGCUGUCCGGUAUGCCCAGAGUGCAUCGGGUAACUUGUCUUUCCACGCCGUUCCCAUUUCAUUUACUGUCUUCUGAAGAAUAUUCUUGAUUUAUUUGUUGGAAGUCUCUGCUUGGCCACUUGUCUGAGGAUGAUAAGGGGUAGCGACGUUGUGAUGGAUUCCAUGUCUUGAUAGAUAUUGCUUGAAGCGUUUGUCGAUGAAGUGUGCUCCUCCAUCACUUAUCACUACUCUGGGGACUCCAAAUCUUGGAAAUAUAAUUUCUUCAAAUAUCCUCUUUGAACUGACGUUGUCGGCAUGCUUGCAAGGUAAUGCCUCUACCCACUUGGAGACAUAGUCAACCGCCACCAAGAUGUACUCGCACUUCUUUGAUGGAGGAAAUGGACCCAUAUAGUCUAUUCCCCAGACAUCAAAGAGCUCAAUCUGAAGGUUGUUGGUGAGUGGCAUUGCAUCCCUUGUAUUUAUGUUUCUGUGUCUUUGACAUGGCCCACAUCUUCUGAUAUAUUGCUUCGUGUCUUCAUACAUUGUAGGCCAGUAGAAUCCACAUUGCCAGAUCUUUGAAUGUGUACGGAAUGCUCCAUAGUGACCUCCAUAUGGUGAUGAAUGACAUCUGUCGAUGAUCUUCCAUCCUUCCUCAGUGGUCACACAUCUCCUGAGUAAGCCAUCAGAGCAUACUCGGAAGAGGUAUGGCUCAUCCCAUAUAUGUGAACGACUUUCUUGAAUAAGCUUCUUCUUGUUUGCUCCUGGUGGUACAUACCCUAAAACCAUAAAAUUAACAAUAUCUGCAUACCAGGGGUCAGACCUGUUAAUCCCGUAGAGCAUGUCGUCCUGGAGUGAAUCAUUGAUGGGGGUUUCCUGUGGACUCUUAAAAUACAUUCUAGACAAGUGAUCAGCAACAGAAUUUUCUACUCCCUUUUUAUCUUUUAUUUCUAAGUCAAAUUCUUGGAGUAAUAAGAUCCAUCUAAUCAGGCGAGGUUUAGCAUCUUUUUUAGUGAGCAAAUAUUUUAGUGCAGCAUGAUCAGUAUAAACAAUUAUUUUAGCUCCAACUAAAUAAGAUCUAAAUUUAUCAAUGGCAAAGACAACAGCCAGAAGCUCUUUUUCAGUGGUUGCAUAAUUAAGUUGAGCUCCUGUCAAAGUUUUACUGGCAUAAGCAAUUGCAUGAUGCUUUUUAUUUUUAGUUUGUCCCAAUACUGUCCCCACAGCAUAAUCACUAGCAUCACACAUAAUUUCAAAAGGCAGCGACCAAUCAGGGGGUUGAAUGAUUGGUGCAGAGAUGAGUGCUUUCUUUAAUAAAUUGAAAGAUGUUAGACAUGCAUCAUCAAAUUCGAAAGGAGCAUCGUUGGCUAGCAAAAGAGUAAGUGGUCUAGCAAUAAAUGAAAAAUCUUUUAUGAAUCUACGAUAAAAACCAGCAUGGCCAAGAAAGCUUCGAAUUCCUUUUAUGUUCACAGGUGGAGGUAGUUGUUCAAUUACUUCAAUUUUAGCUUUGUCUACAUCAAUACCUCUUUCAGACACUAGGUGUCCCAGCACUAUUCCUUCCCUAACCAUAAAAUGACAUUUUUCCCAAUUAAGGAUUAAGUGCUUUUCUUCAUAUCUUUGCAAAACCUUGUCUAAGUUUUCAAGACAACUAUCAAAAGUUUUUCCAUAAACAGAGAAAUCAUCCAUGAAAACUUCCAUAAUCUCUUCAAUCAUAUCAGAAAAUAUAGACAUCAUGCAUCUUUGAAAAGAAGUUGGUGAAUUACAUAACCCAAAAGACAUUCUACGAUAAGCAUAAGUUCCAUAUGGGCAUGUAAAAGUGGUUUUGCUUUGAUCAUCGGGAUGGAUCGGGAUUUGAUGAUACCCUGAAUAUCCAUCUAAGAAACAAAAGAAUGAAUGGUUUGCUAACCGCUCUAGCAUUUCAUCUAUAAAAGGUAAAGGUAAGUGAUCCUUUCUCGUGGCUUUGUUUAGUUUUCUAUAGUCUAUGCACAUCCGCCAUCCGGUGACGGUGCGUUGCGGAAUUAGCUCGUUCUUUUCAUUCAUAAUAACAGUCAUGCCUCCCUUUUUAGGCACAACUUGUACUGGGCUCACCCACUCACUGUGCGGCAUAGGAUAUAUAAUCCCUACAUGCAGCAACUUUAUAACUUCCUUUUUAACUACCUCUCUCAUAGUGUUAUUAAGUCUACGUUGGUGUUCUCGAGAGGGUGAAACAGAAGGAUCUGUUGGAAUACGAUGGGUACAAAUCAUAGGACUGAUUCCUGUAAGAUCUUGAAGUGAGUAGCCGAAUACUGAGUGAUGUUUCUCAAGAAUGGUCAUUAAUCGCAGAGUUUGAUCCUGAGUGAGUUUAUCGCUAAUGAUCACAGGGAACUCUGGAUUAUUGUUUAGGAAAGCAUAGGUAAGACCGGGUGGUAAAGUUUUAAGCUUUAUAGGGGGUCUAGGUUUGUCUUCUUCUUCUGUGAAGAAAGGAGUUUCGUCUUCUUAUUGUUUAAGGAGUGUGAAAUUAUUAUUGGGAAUUUAAAAGUUUUUCCAAAAGAAAUGUGUAGCUUUCCAGUAUGACCUUCAUAAAGGAGUCUUUUAAAAGGUUGUCCUAUUAACAGGUCGAAGUCCCAUGUAUCAAAGAUAUAGAAGUUCAAAUGAACCAUGGAGCCUUCUACCGUAAGAGGUAGGACAUUAAUAAUUCCAAGACUGGGGACUAAUCGUCCUGAAGAUUCCUUUAUGACCUUUGUUGUGGGGGUUAAGACAAGAUUUUUAAAUAGUUUAAGUGCAAAAGAUUCAGACAUGAUGUUGAUCCCCACAACAGGAUUAUAGAGAGCAUUAAAUCGAUCAGAAUUAUAAGCACAGCGUAUAGUUAUAGAGGGUGUGUCCAAACGGAUCACAUCAGAGUAAAGUUCUAAUUCCUCCAACCAUUCGCUACUCAUUACUGAGAUAAGCUCUCUCAAUUGAUAUUCACUUGGCAAAUAAAUGCUAAACUGGCCGUUUUGGGGUUUGUCAAUAGAAUGGUAGUUUGAAAUAUUUCCAAAAUCGGCAAAAAAAUCGGAUUCUAUAUCCUGCAUGAAGUCCGGUGGUGGAAUUUCUUCCUCUUGUGGCUCAGAACUUGGGAUAGCUAAAGUAGAUGAAGAAUUUGGCAGAGUGUCUACUUUGGCUUCGUAGGUUUCAUCAUGAAGGGUAUUAUCCAUCUCAGCUUCUAGGAUUCUAUCUAGGAUCACUCUAGCUUCAUCAGCAGGGAUGCGAAAGAAAGAACCUCUAGACAUUGUGUGAAGCAUUUGUUUGUGAUUUUUAUGAAGACCUCGAAAAAAGUGAAAUAAAAGAACAGGGUCUUCAAGAUUAAGGUUUGGACCAGAUUCUAAAAGAUCAGAAAAACGUUUCCAGGAUUUUCCCAAAGUUUCAUUAUCUUUUUGUUUAAAAGAUAGGACUUCGAGUCUAAGGUCGGCUAUACGGUCAAGGGAAUAGAAAUCUAGACAGAAGUUAGCUCGUAAAACUCCCCAUUCACCUUGUUGUUGACUUACCUUCUGGCUGUACCAUUGUCUAGCUUCUCCCCUUAAGGAAAAAGGAAAAAGCUUCCAGCGUAAAGUUUUAUCAGAAAUGCCUUCAAUGCGAAGACAAUCACAUGUUUGCUCAAAAUCUCUAAUAUGAAGGUAAGGGUUUUCGUCUUCCUUUCACGAAAAAGAUAGGUUUUGAAUCAUGGCAAUCAACCUAGAACUUAACUUAUACUGGGAUGUUUGGAUAGGCUGUGAUGACUCCCAUGGUAAAAGGUCAGUUGCUAAAGGGAUUGCAGACUCAUGGACCGAUUUAGAAUUUUGGUUUUCCAUAAGGUAAGAGUAAAUAAAUAAAGAAUAUAAAAGAUAAGAAAAGAUAAAAGUAUAGAUACAAGCUAAUAGUAAGACUCAGGUUAUCUCAGCAACCGUCUUUCUCCCCGGCAACGGCGCCAGAAAUGCUUGUUGAUAUUUGGUAACGCAAUAAGGAAACGAUCCGCAAGCGCACGGAUAUCGGUGAACAUUUCACCCAGAAGGAUAUCCAGAGUUAUCGUAUUUAUAUUUUUACCACUGGGAUAAAGGGUGCAUCUGACUAACCAAAUCUAGUGCUACUAUCCCUUUAGGCACAAAGAAUGUCUUUCGAUGUGAGUGAUAAAUAGAGAAGACUGCAACCGUAGUCUCCUUCUAACCUUGGUAAGGAUGAUCUACUGUUCUAAUGGGGAGGCUAACGGAAUCUAGACAACACAAAGGAUGUUCGACCCGCACCUAUAAACCCUAUCCUUCCUGCUAACGAGAUGUGAUCUGCAAAGGUAACUCGGAAUUGUCACGUUCCUCACUACUACCACGGUCCAGCUAGUCAGGAAAUAUCUAUGAGUACCCCAGCCUAAACACCACGUUUACGCCAGCAAUGAUUACUCUAAACUCUACGCGAAGAGAUUUAAGUAAACUCAUAAACCAUAAGAACAAUAAAACAAGAACUUACUAGAAUUUAGAAGUCGAAAUACUGAAGAAUCCUAGGAGCAAGCUUCGGGUUAGGAGAACUUGAUCUCGCAGGUACAAGCUUGGAGUAGACACCGACAGGCCGGGCUUCCUCCAAUCUACACCUCUGCUGGGUAUUCUUAACAUCAUUACCAAAAGUAGACUAAGUUCUCUAAAUCUAGUAACGGUGCCAAAAAUGCCAAACCUAUCCCUCACACCACUUAAGCCAAGUUGUCAUCCCCAGCAUGAUAUAAGAGACGCGGUAUUGAAAUAUGCAAUUGCUCUUCUAAAUAAAUAAUAAAUGGGAUCUGCAAGCGCACAGAUUAAUACCGAUGCAGCAUUUUAACCGGGAAGUAUUCCAGGUAUCGUUAUUUAUAUUUUUACCACUGGGAAGGGAUUAACAAUCAUCACUAUUGAUUACAGAAUAGAAUAUGAGAUUGAGCAUCUAUCAUUGCAUAUAUAAUUGAGAACAUUAUAUCUAAGUCUUCAUACAGGGAUAAGUGUCACAUAAAAGAUAUAUGAAAUAAUAAUAGUGACAAGGAUAACUAAUCUGAUCUAGCCACAUAUUAAAUAUGAUAAGCACCUCAAUUAGAUACUCUAGAAAGUCAUUAGCAUGGUAUUAGAACAAACUACAAGAAUAUUCCCUAAGUUAUUCUCAACUAUAUAGUCUAGCAUUAUCAUAGUUAGUGCAAGCAUACUUAGCAAUCAUUGUGAGACAAGACUACGCCCAUGCAUAGUGAUAUUAGCAAGGAAUAUGAGAAACAUAGCAAUCACUCCCCUGUAAUAAUGUUGCUCUGCUAGCCCAAUACACGAGAGGAGGACUAUAUAAGAAUCAAUGAAGCUGUCACUAUCACGAACCACCCCACGAUCUGGCAUAUUGGGUACAAUCGUAGAUAAAUACGGUAUAAACACCACGCUUACACAAUAUCUAUCAUUUACCCAUGGAUCCGAUGGAUAAACGCUAUACGAUCCUAAGCAUGUAUAUAGAUCGAAUCUAACUAAGCCAAGUACAUAACUAUGAUAAACUAAGAACAAUAUAAUCUUGAAUAUAAGCAAGUAGAGCAAAGUCAUAAGCAAUAUAUUGAAGUAGAACAAAGUCAUAUUCAUAAUAUUGAAGAACAAAGAUAAUUAGAAAGUAAUUAGAAGCACAAUUAGAGAAUUACCAAGAAUCCUCCUGACAGAUCCGGAAACCAAUCGAAGAUUGACUCCUUCUAGUUCUAAUCCUAUGUAGCUAUGCUAAUCUAGAUAUCUAAUUGAUGUGGUGGCUCUAAUCUUGAUCAGAGGCUUCUUCUCCCUUGAUGGAACAAUGAAUUAGGGUUGAGAGGCUCUCUCCUCUAGGGGCCAGGGGGUCUGGUUUUAUAGUCCCUUCAAGUGAAUAUGGGCCGUUGGAUCAAACUGACAUAGAUUGUAUGGUUUAGAUUCAUCCUUUAGGUCGGUGGAAAUCUCCCGCAAAGCAGAGUCCUGAUUGGACUCAGAGGCAGGGCGGGCGCCCAGGGUCUGGCCCCGUUUCGCCUCCGCUUCGGUCUCGUGGCUUCUGGAGUCUUCUAGAUGUAAGAUAAUUGUGUGGCACGUUAAUAUCUCUAUGUAAUCCCGACGUGUGGGCCUUUCUUCCGUAUUUCCUGAUAACCCCCUACAGAAAUAGACAAACACCAAAACUCGUGGAAUUCUGUCAGAUAAAACCCUAAGUCUAGAUGUUGAUUUCAUUUGGAUCCUUUUCUUUUUUUAUUUGAUAAUUAAAUUUGAUACUUAAGGACUGUCAACAAACUCCUCCAAGCUUACCUCUUGCUCGUCCCUGAGCAAGGAUAGACUCAGCUAUGGAUCAUAAGUUGUUGCAAUAUUUUUUUUUAAAUUUGACGGUACACAUACUUUUUAAAUAAGAUCUCAUCUCUGAGUUAGAGUAAACUGUCAAGACUUAAAACUUACUUACUUUACCUUCUUGUAACUGUCACUUCUGUCUUGAGUAGUUAAAAGAUAGAACAGUCCAGCCAAGUGCCAUGUCUCUUAUUCUUGAUCAGCUAUAGCUCUGGGGUUUUUGCAGAUUUUCAAAUAAAACUCAGAGAUUCCUUGUCUGACUCUCUUAAAUCUCUCUUUUGUGGUAUUUCUGGAUCCUUACCAAGGCAGUAAUGGUAUAUGCCUUCUCUCAAGAUAUGUAGUAUUUGUGGUAUAAAGCAUAGUGACAUUGUCUUCUCUCUCACCUUACUCUAAUAAGGCUUUAAUAUCUGGAGCUCAUAGGUGGGACAUAAAGUAUACAUACUUACAAGACAUUUAUUGUAUAGUCAAACCAUGGAUACAAAGAAACAAAUCAAUAAGUUUAAUUAAGAUGUGCAUGUGUGGCGAAUGAAUGGUGUAUAGUGAUGAUGAUGAUAACAAUGGUGAAAACAAUGGAGGUGGAAGUCUAAUUCUACUUUUGCUCUUUGAGGGGAUACAUACCUUCCUUGCUUUUUGAAACUUUAUGAGGAGAAUGAGAUGCUCUUCUUUUUCUUUUCUCUCAGGUGGGUAUCUUGCACCCCUAAUUCUACUGUCGGACACUUGUCCAUUUUUACCUCUCGUCUCACUUUUUUCUUUUUCUUUCGAGGUUCCAAGCACUUUCUCCUUUUUAUUUCCUCGUAUUUUUUUUAUUUUCUUCUUUUUUUAAGCACUCAUCUCUUGAGAUAAUAUAGCAAGUGGUAGUAACAAGAUAACUUGAGCAUUUAUUUCACAAGGGAAAACAUAAAUAUUUUUGGUUAUUCUCUCCCGGGUUAGGAGUAGAAUAUUUUUGGGUGAUUCUAGAGAUGGAAUGGGUGGAUAUAUGUGGAUGGUACUUCCGGAGUAGAAGUAGCAUAUAUGAGUGAACGUGCAAGUGAAAUCUUGAUUUAACCACAUGACAAGUUCCUAAGGGUCUACACAGCUUGACCACACUCAAUGCUCAUAAGCAGUAAAUAGUAAAUGUGUGGCUCAAAGUCUAGCAAGCAUGUAUAUAUGGCUAUGGUAGGAAUUUAAACUCUCAUCAUACAGGAACUCAUCAUGCAACAUUUUAAAGAUUUUCAAAGAUAAAAUUCUCCAGAAUUCUAGCAUCUCUAGGAACAGAUAAACAGCAGCUCAACCUUCCCAUAUCGUAUCCGUUAACAACUUAGACUUUAGAUCAAGUUUUCAUCCCACAAGUUUAGGUCUAGAACAAGCUUUAAAUUAUAACAGUUAUGUCUAAACUUGAGAGAGAACUUAAAAUGUGCAAAUUAGGCAGAGCAACCAUUUAUCAUAUCCAUGCUUAAGUUUUAUUAUUAAGAUACAGAUUAACAUAGCCACUUUAUUUAUUUAUUAAACACACUAAGCAAAAGAUAUAUAUAUAUACAUAAAAUCUUUAUUUGGUUUUUCAU